CCGUCCUCCUCUGCUACGUCACCAUGAAGCACCGCCGCGAGGAGUGGCAGGAGUGGUCGAGCGUCCCAUAUACCUGAUGUGAAAGAGUCUCGUUACCGUUCAUAUUCAUGCUGAUACGCUGGUAAGGUAAAGAACGUCUUAAAAAGUUCAACAGUCAGAGCUCGAAGAAAGAAACCUUUCUUACGGUCAGAAGUAGUGGUGGUUCCUACUGUUUCCUCACCUUUUCACACGCUGAUAUAGAACAAGGAAGUCAGUAUAUGGAGUAGGUGUUGUUACACGUCAAAUGCUGGAACUGAAUACAACUAGGUAGCUGGAUAGUCUAUAACCCCUUGGACUUUUAACAAUGUUGACCUUAAAACAAGUCCGAACAGAAUUCUUCCUUUAAUAGUUUAGAUGUUACCUACCGUUAAUAAAAUGAGCGACACCCGUGAUGAUGUUCGGUCCAGUUCCCUACACCUCUACGUGGUACACUAAGCCAAAAGAGUCGUGGUAAGGUCCCAAUGUACGAACCCUAUGAAAGACGAACAGAAAGACGUGAUCGACCUCAGAUGUGACUCAUGAACUACUUCUUCUUAUCACUAUCAGACAUGACCGUUUUACAUGUUAAUAUAUACAAACCUCAAUAGAAGUUGUACCCAACCGAACAGAUACCACUGAAGUUCCGACCCAAACUCUACCCAGGUACCACCGUCGCAGAAAAAUUACCGAUAAGGUAGUGUUGUACCUAUCAACACAAGUUGAAUCCCAGAUGGCCAGACGAUCACAGUACCGACUACUUCAUAAGUCUGUUGUAUCACUUCCACAUGAGUUGAAGUUACCGGUACGAAAAUUGUUACCAAAACAGACAUAUAGAAAAGUUACACUCUCGAUGUCAAGUCGAAAAGAACCCGUAACACUAGACGUAUUAAAGGGACGUCUACAUAAAAUACGGACAUGUGUACGAUCAACUUAACGGUGUUUGUAACGGUCGAUGUCGCUUCAUCCAUCAGAUGACAAUGGACUGUACAACUAGUCUCACUACCACAUGACAACUAGUUCCCUCGUCGCAACAACUCACUCAUAGAACCCGAGUCGAAUUUAACUCAGUAGGAAACUCCGAUCACCCGAUGUUACAAGUUUUCUAAGAAGUCAAUCGUAGUGCAACGUCCCUUCCAUUUAUUAGUAACUUCACUUGUGCACUAUAAUCACCUGUUUUCCGAUUGACGACCACCGAAACGAUUAAACAUAAGUCCAUCUCCUACUUCCGACUAACGAUAAAAGAAAACCUAAAUCUUUACCUUUAUACAUGUGUAUAAGAGGUCAAUCAAGCUUUACCAAAUGAUUGGUACGAGAUUUUAAAACAGUAAGUGUACCUUCUCAUCUAUGUCCUGACCACUGAUUUAUACUCAAUAAUGUAGGAACUCCUUCUACAAUCUGAAGAAAAAAACGUCGUUCACGUAUCAAAUUUACGGCCCGUCUAGAGUAUAUAAUGUAAGUUUCAAAACUAUUAUGAACGAAUUGUGUCUUUAGUCCAACACACCAACGGUAGGACGGUCUACCAUAUGGGACGGCCAUUCACGCAGAUCGAAAAGCAAUGUCAAUGGAACCAAAGACUGGUGGUCUUUGACCUGUAUUUGCCGUAUCGUGGGAACUUAUAUAAGUCAAUUACUUGGUGAACAUGAGACACUCCUGGAGAGAGGGUAAUAUGACGACGUCACGGGCAACCAGAGUACCAGACGUGGAAUAACGUUCUAAUCCUUCGGUACUAUACGGUUACCCUACAAAGGUACCUUUUACAUCUCCGGUACACCGAAUACGACUGCAUGAGUCACUAUAGACCUUUACGUACAUUCUACCAACAACGAGUGACUUUGUUAGAUUCAACCAAAUUCAUACGAACUUAUCACAAGGGCAAGAGUUCAUCAGUUUAGAGUUUGACUUAAUAUCUUACAAUCCGACCUACACCUUCAUAUCGAGAAAAGUAAAGACGACGUUUUGGACGAAACCCAAGACAGGGA
rnacentral:rRNA from 1 species